GGUGUCGUGGCUGAGAGGCAAGGCAACGGUCUGCAACACCGUCAACGCCGGUUCGAGCCCGGCCGGCACCU
rnacentral:tRNA from 1 species